GGAGGAGGAAGAAGGAGAAGGGGACUGCAUAUUUAGGGAGAGCCGGUGUGUGCGGCUGUGUGUCUGUGGUGUGUGCGCGCAGCGUAACGCCCGAAACGUGUUCGGGCCUCGGCCUCCGUUCCCACCUACGACGGCGCGCAGGACUGGAGAGGGGCGCUUAUUAGACCAGAGUACCGCUUCGUUGUGAUACGUUGGUCGUCGGAACACUAUCCGAUACGGAACACGAGCUCGAACGACCGCUAGUAAUUGUUCAUACGGCAGUGUUUCAAGUUAAUGGGACCGGAGGACUGUUGCGAUGUCAUGAACUGUAGACGACGACCACAAACCCGGGAACCUUUCGAUCCAAAAGAGACGGUACUGGGGAAGUUGGACCUCUGACGGUUCUUUAAACGUGGCCGACGAUAACAGAAGAUGGAGCGGUAUAAAUGUUUGUGUUUGGAGGAACAAGUACGGUUACACCUGUGCAAGUAGCAAAAGUCUAGGAACUGAGGCGAAAACCAACGAUAACGACUGUGUUGGAAGGCCUUCGUUGGUACGGGAAGGUUCGAGUGUAAAAGUAGGGAACAAUAGUAUAACCCUCCUCGCCAACCGAUACACUAUUGUCUAAGACGUAAGUCGGAGUGUCGUAUGAGAACCCGCGAACGGAUAGACCACUGUUAUUGUCGACUCUACCACAUGUAGUUCGUAUAACACUGCUUAGACCCAGAUUUGUGUACCCCAAAACACGACAUAUUGUUGGAAGAAAGGAACUACUAUAGGGGGUAGAAAACCAAAAACUGUCCCCUCGUGUUCAACCAGAAGAGUCGUCAGCUUAGUGCCCAACUCCCAACCAAGGUCGAACUACGGAAACAGCGCCACCGUAACAGUACGAACAAACCCAAUGAGUAGUCGAAGAAACCGAAACGCCGAUCCUUUCGUUAGAGUCGGUGCCGUAAGUGCCACUGACCCCAACACUUGUUCAAGGAGUGUCACCGUUAGUUACACUGUUAGACCCUGUUCGUGCGGUCACGUAAACCAAACCAAUCGGACGAUAAGUGAGAACGACCACCUCAUGAGAUAGUCGUUAGUCAAUGACGUUUUCCUUUAUAACGUAGUCGAGUCGCACUUUGCCGUAGCCUCCUUGAAUUCCUGCUUUCACUGUCACGACUCAUACUACUCCUCUUUGUCUUCGAAUAAAGUAGAACUCACGGAUCACGUACUUCUCACGGUAAGAAUCGAAAUCCAGCUGUCCAAACAGGAAAUUAAAACGAAUUAUCCGGGAAACGUUGUCUUGGUAUGUUAUCCGUCACGGUCACCAUCAUGUGUUAUAAAGGAACUGUUGAUCUUCCCCGAAAGACAGGCACAAUGAGUAAAGAUGACCUUCUUUUGAUCUAAUUUAAUGACAAAAAUACCAUCCUCACUACGGGCAACAUUUGAACAUUAUGUUAUCGAUAUACCUAUAGAGUAUAAUAAGAACUAUUAAUAUAUAACCGGUAACCACGGAAAACACCAUUGUUUUUUGUUGUUUCUUUCCCCUAAACGCAGGUCUACGAAACCUCGUUCGUUCGUAACCCUG
rnacentral:rRNA from 1 species